UCGUAACAAGGUCUCCGUAGGUGAACCUGCGGAGGGAUCAUUACACAAAUAUGAAGGCGGGCUGGAACCUCUCGGGGUUACAGCCUUGCUGAAUUAUUCACCCUUGUCUUUUGCGUACUUCUUGUUUCCUUGGUGGGUUCGCCCACCACUAGGACAAACAUAAACCUUUUGUAAUUGCAAUCAGCGUCAGUAACAAAUUAAUAAUUACAACUUUCAACAACGGAUCUCUUGGUUCUGGCAUCGAUGAAGAACGCAGCGAAAUGCGAUAAGUAGUGUGAAUUGCAGAAUUCAGUGAAUCAUCGAAUCUUUGAACGCACAUUGCGCCCUUUGGUAUUCCAAAGGGCGUGCCUGUUCGAGCGUCAUUUGUACCCUCAAGCUUUGCUUGGUGUUGGGCGUCUUGUCUCUAGCUUUGCUGGAGACUCGCCUUAAAGUAAUUGGCAGCCGGCCUACUGGUUUCGGAGCGCAGCACAAGUCGCACUCUCUAUCAGCAAAGGUCUAGCAUCCAUUAAGCCUUUUUUUCAACUUUUGACCUCGGAUCAGGUAGGGAUACCCGCUGAACUUAAGCAUAUCA
rnacentral:rRNA from 1 species